rnacentral:lncRNA from 1 species
GAAGAGCAACUAUCAGCUGCUAGAUUCCCCGAACUACUAUUAUUAUUCAUACAGUGCAACAUGUUUGUGUUUAUUUAUAUAUUCUUAAUACUAAUAAUAAUUAUGAUUAGGUAAGAGGUAAUAUUGUUAGUUUGUUGUUGAAACAGAAAAUGAUAGGAUGUGUGGUUCAGUUUUGGUAGCUGCAGAGGGAAGAAGAAUACUUCAGAGGAAAGCAAAGUUGGGUCAAUGAUGCACCGUCAUGGUGAGAGGUGAAGUUGCACAAAUAUGCGACUAGGAUAUAAAUCAAACGUAGUUAAGGUUCAACUGCAAAAUGAGUGACUCACUGGGGUAUAUAUAAAGUGGACAAAUUAUAUUUUAAAUUCUAUUUUCACAAUAAUAAAAGAA